rnacentral:rRNA from 1 species
UACGUAGGGUGCGAGCGUUGUCCGGAAUUAUUGGGCGUAAAGGGCUCGUAGGCGGUCUGUUGCGUCAGGAGUGAAAACUCGGGGCUUAACCCCGAGCCUGCUUCUGAUACGGGCAGACUAGAGUGCGGUAGGGGGAGACUGGAAUUCCUGGUGUAGCGGUGGAAUGCGCAGAUAUCAGGAGGAACACCGAUGGCGAAGGCAGGUCUCUGGGCCGCAACUGACGCUGAGGAGCGAAAGCAUGGGGGAGCGAACAGG